GAUGAACGCUGGCGGCGUGCCUAAUACAUGCAAGUCGAGCGAACGGACGAGAAGCUUGCUUCUCUGAUGUUAGCGGCGGACGGGUGAGUAACACGUGGAUAACCUACCUAUAAGACUGGGAUAACUUCGGGAAACCGGAGCUAAUACCGGAUAAUAUUAUGAACCGCAUGGUUCAAAAGUGAAAGACGGUCUUGCUGUCACUUAUAGAUGGAUCCGCGCUGCAUUAGCUAGUUGGCAAGGUAACGGCUUACCAAGGCAACGAUGCAUAGCCGACCUGAGAGGGUGAUCGGCCACACUGGAACUGAGACACGGUCCAGACUCCUACGGGAGGCAGCAGUAGGGAAUCUUCCGCAAUGGGCGAAAGCCUGACGGAGCAACGCCGCGUGAGUGAUGAAGGUCUUCGGAUCGUAAAACUCUGUUAUUAGGGAAGAACAUAUGUGUAAGUAACUGUGCACAUCUUGACGGUACCUAAUCAGAAAGCCACGGCUAACUACGUG
rnacentral:rRNA from 1 species